AUGUCCCCUUAUUGCAGGAUUCUCAUGAAUAUGGGUAUGGGUAAUCCAACCGUGCCGCCCGCACGGCCCCUGGGGAAUAGGAGAGUUUCAUGGCGAGUGGGGAGGCGUUUGAUAUUCACUGCCUUUAUAAGGAGAUAA
rnacentral:rRNA from 1 species